rnacentral:rRNA from 1 species
CACUAUGCCUAGCCCUAAACAUUGACAGUUAAUUACACCCACUGUCCGCCCGGGAACUACGAGCGCUAGCUUAAAACCCAAAGGACUUGGCGGUGCUUUAGACCCCCCUAGAGGAGCCUGUUCUAGAACCGAUAAUCCCCGUUAAACCUCACCCUUCCUUGUCAUUUCCGCCUAUAUACCGCCGUCGUCAGCUUACCCUGUGAAGGCCCAACAGUAAGCGCAAUCGGUAAAGCCCAAAACGUCAGGUCGAGGUGUAGCGAAUGGAAGGGGAAGAAAUGGGCUACAUUUACUGACACAGUAAAUACGGAUGAUACCCUGCAACGAGUAUCUGAAGGAGGAUUUAGCAGUAAGCAAAAAGCAGAGUGUUUUGCUGAAACUGGCCCUGAAGCGUGCACACACCGCCCGUCACUCUCUCCGAACUAACACUUCAAACAUAACUAAUAUGCUAUAAUUGUAAAGGAGAGGUAAGUCGUAA